rnacentral:rRNA from 1 species
UACGGAGGGUGCAAGCGUUAUCCGGAUUCACUGGGUUUAAAGGGUGCGUAGGUGGCUUUGUAAGUCAGUGGUGAAAUGCCGGAGCUUAACUCCGGAACUGCCAUUGAUACUGCUUAGCUUGAAUCACGUCGAGGUGGAUGGAAUAUUACAUGUAGCGGUGAAAUGCGUAGAUAUGUAAUAGAACACCGAUUGCGAAGGCAGUUCACUAGGCGUGUAUUGACACUGAGGCACGAAAGCGUGGGGAUCAAACAGG